rnacentral:tRNA from 1 species
GCCCUGUUAGCUCAAUGGCUUAGAGCUACUGCCUUGUAAGCAGAAGAUGUGGGUUCGAUUCCUACACGGGGCU